UGGGGAAUCUUCCGCAAUGGACGAAAGUCUGACGGAGCAACGCCGCGUGAGUGAUGACGGCCUUCGGGUUGUAAAGCUCUGUUAAUCGGGACGAAAGGCCUUCUUGCGAAUAGUUAGAAGGAUUGACGGUACCGGAAUAGAAAGCCACGGCUAACUACGUGCCAGCAGCCGCGGUAAUACGUAGGUGGCAAGCGUUGUCCGGAAUUAUUGGGCGUAAGGCGCGCGCAGGCGGAUUGGUCAGUCUGUCUUAAAAGUUCGGGGCUUAACCCCGUGAUGGGAUGGAAACUGCCAAUCUAGAGUAUCGGAGAGGAAAGUGGAAUUCCUAGUGUAGCGGUGAAAUGCGUAGAUAUUAGGAAGAACACCAGUGGCGAAGGCGACUUUCUGGACGAAAACUGACGCUGAGGCGCGAAAGCCAGGGGAGCGAACGGGAUUAGAUACCCCGGUAGUCCUGGCCGUAAACGAUGGGUACUAGGUGUAGGAGGUAUCGACCCCUUCUGUGCCGGAGUUAACGCAAUAAGUACCCCGCCUGGGGAGUACGACCGCAAGGUUG
rnacentral:rRNA from 1 species